UGGGGAAUUUUGGACAAUGGGCGAAAGCCUGAUCCAGCAAUGCCGCGUGCAGGAAGAAGGCCUUCGGGUUGUAAACUGCUUUUGUACGGAACGAAAAGGCUCUUUCUAAUAAAGAGGGCCCAUGACGGUACCGUAAGAAUAAGCACCGGCUAACUACGUGCCAGCAGCCGCGGUAAUACGUAGGGUGCGAGCGUUAAUCGGAAUUACUGGGCGUAAAGCGUGCGCAGGCGGUUCUAUAAGACAGAUGUGAAAUCCCCGGGCUCAACCUGGGAAUGGCAUUUGUGACUGUAGAGCUAGAGUACGGUAGAGGGGGAUGGAAUUCCGCGUGUAGCAGUGAAAUGCGUAGAUAUGCGGAGGAACACCGAUGGCGAAGGCAAUCCCCUGGGCCUGCACUGACGCUCAUGCACGAAAGCGUGGGGAGCAAACAGGAUUAGAUACCCCCGGUAGUCCCUGAGCGGGCUGGCAAGGCGCAU
rnacentral:rRNA from 1 species